rnacentral:rRNA from 1 species
GUUGUAUGGUUAAGUGACUAAGCGUACACGGUGGAUGCCUUGGCAGUCAGAGGCGAUGAAAGACGUAAUAACUUGCGAUAAGCCCAGAUUAGGUAGUAAUAACCUUUUGAGUCUGGGAUUUCUGAAUGGGGAAACCCACGUGCACAAGCACGUAUCCUGUUGUGAAUACAUAGCAACAGGAGGCAAACCGGGGGAACUGAAACAUCUAAGUACCCCGAGGAAGAGAAAUCAACCGAGAUUCCGAAAGUAGCGGCGAGCGAAAUUGGAUUAGCCCUUAAGCUUUUAAUGAUGCAGGUGAAGAGUCUGGAAAGUCUCGCAAUAAAGGGUGAUAGCCCCGUAACCGACACAUCAUAAUCAGUGAAAACGAGUAGGGCGGGACACGUGAUAUCCUGUCUGAAUAUGGGGGGACCAUCCUCCAAGGCUAAAUACUACUGACUGACCGAUAGUGAACCAGUACCGUGAGGGAAAGGCGAAAAGAACCCCUGUGAGGGGAGUGAAAUAGAACCUGAAACCGUGUACGUACAAGCAGUAGGAGCACCUUCGUGGUGUGACUGCGUACCUUUUGUAUAAUGGGUCAGCGACUUAAUUUUAGUAGCAAGGUUAACCGUUUAGGGGAGCCGUAGGGAAACCGAGUCUUAACUGGGCGAUAGCUGGUUCUCCCCGAAAGCUAUUUAGGUAGCGCCUCGGACGAAUACUACUGGGGGUAGAGCACUGUUAAGGCUAGGGGGUCAUCCCGACUUACCAACCCUUUGCAAACUCCGAAUACCAGUAAGUACUAUCCGGGAGACACACGGCGGGUGCUAACGUCCGUCGUGGAGAGGGAAACAACCCAGACCGCCAGCUAAGGUCCCAAAGUAUAGCUAAGUGGGAAACGAUGUGGGAAGGCUCAGACAGCCAGGAUGUUGGCUUAGAAGCAGCCAUCAUUUAAAGAAAGCGUAAUAGCUCACUGGUCGAGUCGGCCUGCGCGGAAGAUGUAACGGGGCUAAGCUAUACACCGAAGCUGCGGCUACGUACCUUAGGGUAUGUGGGGUAGGGGAGCGUUCUGUAAGCCGUUGAAGGUGGUCUGUAAGGGCUGCUGGAGGUAUCAGAAGUGCGAAUGCUGACAUGAGUAACGAUAAAGGGAGUGAAAAACUCCCUCGCCGGAAGACCAAGGGUUCCUGUCCAACGUUAAUCGGGGCAGGGUAAGUCGACUCCUAAGGCGAGGCCGAAAGGCGUAGUCGAUGGGAAACGGGUUAAUAUUCCCGUACUUCUUACAAUUGCGAUGGGGGGACGGAGAAGGCUAGGUGGGCCUGGCGACGGUUGUCCAGGUUCAAGUAUGUAGGCGGAAAGUUUAGGUAAAUCCGGACUUUCUUAACGCUGAGAUACGAUGUCGAGCUACUACGGUAGUGAAGUCAUUGAUGCCAUGCUUCCAGGAAAAGCCUCUAAGCUUCAGAUUGUAAGGAAUCGUACCCCAAACCGACACAGGUGGUCGGGUAGAGAAUACCAAGGCGCUUGAGAGAACUCGGGUGAAGGAACUAGGCAAAAUGGUACCGUAACUUCGGGAGAAGGUACGCUCUUAUCAGUGAAGUCCCUUGCGGAUGGAGCAGACGAGAGUCGCAGAUACCAGGUGGCUGCAACUGUUUAUUAAAAACACAGCACUGUGCAAAAUCCAGUGAAAUUGAAAUCGCUGUGAAGAUGCAGUGUACCCGCGGCUAGACGGAAAGACCCCGUGAACCUUUACUACAGCUUGGCACUGAACAUUGAACCUACAUGUGUAGGAUAGGUGGGAGACUAUGAAAUUGCGUCGCUAGAUGUGAUGGAGUCGUCCUUGAAAUACCACCCUUGUAGUUUUGAUGUUCUAACGUUGGUCCCUGAAUCGGGAUUACGGACAGUGCCUGGUGGGUAGUUUGACUGGGGCGGUCUCCUCCCAAAGAGUAACGGAGGAGCACGAAGGUGGGCUAAACACGGUUGGACAUCGUGUGGUUAGUGCAAUGGCAUAAGCCCGCUUGACUGCGAGAAUGACAAUUCGAGCAGGUGCGAAAGCAGGUCAUAGUGAUCCGGUGGUUCUGAAUGGAAGGGCCAUCGCUCAACGGAUAAAAGGUACUCCGGGGAUAACAGGCUGAUACCGCCCAAGAGUUCAUAUCGACGGCGGUGUUUGGCACCUCGAUGUCGGCUCAUCACAUCCUGGGGCUGAAGUCGGUCCCAAGGGUAUGGCUGUUCGCCAUUUAAAGUGGUACGCGAGCUGGGUUUAGAACGUCGUGAGACAGUUCGGUCCCUAUCUGCCGUGGGCGUUGGAAAAUUGAAAGGGGCUGCUCCUAGUACGAGAGGACCGGAGUGGACGAACCUCUGGUGUUCGGGUUGUCAUGCCAAUGGCAUUGCCCGGUAGCUAAGUUCGGAAUCGAUAACCGCUGAAAGCAUCUAAGCGGGAAGCGAGCCUUGAGAUGAGUUUUCCCUGGCACUAUAAGUGUCCUAAAGGGUUGUCGUAGACUACGACGUUGAUAGGCAGGGUGUGUAAGUGCUGCGAGGCAUUGAGCUAACCUGUACUAAUUGCCCGUGAGGCUUAACCAUACAACACCCAAGGGGUUU